GUGAAUCAUCGAAUUUUUGAACGCAAAUUGCACUCUCUGGUAUUCCGGAGAGUAUGCCUGUUUGAGGGUCAGUUUAAAUAAAAAUCGGUGUGGUUGCUGCCUUUCGUGGUGACGCACCGGAUUUGGGUCGUCUUGCCUUCGGUUAAGUGACCUAAAAUUUUGCAUGAUUUUUUUCGAACGUAUUUAAAUGAUUUUCCGACGGUUUGCGUAUCCGAUUAUUAGGUUUGUUCACC
rnacentral:misc_RNA from 1 species